GGCUCAGAUUGAACGCUGGCGGCGUGCUUAACACAUGCAAGUCGCGCGUGAAAGGACUUCGGUCCGAGUAAAGCGACGCACGGGUGAGUAACGCGUGGAUGAUCUACCCAUGAGUUAGGAAUAACGGCUGGAAACGGUCGCUAAUACCAAAUACGCUCCGAUUUCAACUUCGGGGGAAAGGUGGCCUCUGCUUGCAAGCUACUGCUCAUGGAUGAGUCCGCGUCCCAUUAGCUAGUUGGUGGGGUAACGGCCCACCAAGGCGACGAUGGGUAGCCGGUCUGAGAGGAUGACCGGCCACACUGGGACUGGAACACGGCCCAGACUCCUACGGGAGGCAGCAGUGGGGAAUAUUGCGCAAUGGGCGAAAGCCUGACGCAGCGACGCCGCGUGAGGGAUGAAGGUCCUCGGAUCGUAAACCUCUGCCAGGAGGGAAGAACCGCCACGGUGCUAAUCAGCCGUGGUCUGACGGUACCUCCAAAGGAAGCACCGGCUAACUCCGUGCCAGCCGCAGC
rnacentral:rRNA from 1 species